UACGAAGGGGGCAAGCGUUGUUCGGAAUUACUGGGCGUAAAGGGUGCGUAGGCGGGUUUUUAAGUCAGAGGUGAAAUCCUGGAGCUCAACUCCAGAACUGCCUUUGAUACUGGAGAUCUCGAGUCCGGAAGAGGUGAGUGGAACUCCGAGUGUAGAGGUGAAAUUCGUAGAUAUUCGGAAGAACACCAGUGGCGAAGGCGGCUCACUGGUCCGGUACUGACGCUGAGGUGCGAAGGCGUGGGGAGCAAACAGG
rnacentral:rRNA from 1 species